UACAGAGGUCUCAAGCGUUGUUCGGAUUCAUUGGGCGUAAAGGGUGCGUAGGUGGCGCCGUAAGUGGGGUGUGAAAUCUCGGGGCUUAACUCCGAAACUGCAUUCCAUACUGGGGUGCUCGAGGACUGGAGAGGAGACUGGAAUUCAUGGUGUAGCAGUGAAAUGCGUAGAGAUCAUGAGGAAGACCAGUGGCGAAGGCGGGUCUCUGGACAGUUCCUGACACUGAGGCACGAAGGCCAGGGGAGCAAACGGG
rnacentral:rRNA from 1 species